rnacentral:rRNA from 1 species
UACGUAGGGUGCGAGCGUUGUCCGGAAUUAUUGGGCGUAAAGGGCUCGUAGGCGGUUUGUCGCGUCGGGAGUGAAAUCCACUGGCUUAACUGGUGGCUUGCUUUCGAUACGGGCAGACUGGAGGUAUGCAGGGGAGAACGAAUUCCUGGUGUAGCGGUGAAAUGCGCAGAUAUCAGGAGGAACACCGGUGGCGAAGGCGGUUCUCUGGGCAUGUCCUGGCGCUGAGGAGCGAAAGUGUGGGGAGCGAACAGG